AGCAGCCGCGGUAAUUCCAGCUCCAAUAGCGUAUAUUAAAGUUGUUGCAGUUAAAAAGCUCGUAGUUGAAUUUCGGGGUUAAUAAGUUGGUCAUACCUAUGGUAUGUACUGGCUUCAUUGAUUCCUACCUCUUGACGAACUGUGAUGCCAUUAAUUUGGUGUUGCAAGGAAUCAGGACUGUUACCUUGAAAAAUUAGAGUGUUUAAAGCAGGCUUACGCUUGAAUACAUUAGCAUGGAAUAAUGAAAUAGGACGUUUGAUUCUAUUUUGUUGGUUUCUAGGAUCGACGUAAUGAUUAAUAGGGAUAGUUGGGGGCAUUAGUAUUCAAUUGUCAGAGGU
rnacentral:rRNA from 1 species